rnacentral:miRNA from 1 species
GGUCUCUCUGUAUAGUUCAGGAUGGCCUUGAGCUCACUUUGUAGACCAGGCUGGUCUUGAACUCACAACAAUCCUCCUGCCUCAGCCUCCUGAGUGCUGGGAUUACAGGAAUGUACCACCAUGCCUG